rnacentral:rRNA from 1 species
CCUACGGGCGGCUGCAGUGGGGAAUAUUGCACAAUGGGCGCAAGCCUGAUGCAGCCGUGCCGCGUGUGUGAAGAAGGCCUUCGGGUUGUAAAGCACUUUCAGCGGGGAGGAAGGCGUUAAGGUUAAUAACCUUGGCGAUUGACGUUACCCGCAGAAGAAGCACCGGCUAACUCCGUGCCAGCAGCCGCGGUAAUACGGAGGGUGCAAGCGUUAAUCGGAAUUACUGGGCGUAAAGCGCACGCAGGCGGUCUGUCAAGUCGGAUGUGAAAUCCCCGGGCUCAACCUGGGAACUGCAUUCGAAACUGGCAGGCUAGAGUCUUGUAGAGGGGGGUAGAAUUCCAGGUGUAGCGGUGAAAUGCGUAGAGAUCUGGAGGAAUACCGGUGGCGAAGGCGGCCCCCUGGACAAAGACUGACGCUCAGGUGCGAAAGCGUGGGGAGCAAACAGGAUUAGAUACCCCGGUAGUC